GUCAAUAUAGUUUAAUAAAAACACUAGGUUGUGGACCUAGAAACAGGGGAUAAGCCCGCCCCCUUAUAGACC
rnacentral:tRNA from 1 species